UGACACGUAGGCACCAAGCGUUGUCCGGAUUUAUUGGGCGUAAAGAGCUCGUAGGCGGUUCAGUAAGUCGGGUGUGAAAACUCUGGGCUCAACCCAGAGACGCCACCCGAUACUGCUGUGACUUGAGUACGGUAGGGGAGCGGGGAAUUCCUGGUGUAGCGGUGAAAUGCGCAGAUAUCAGGAGGAACACCAGUGGCGAAGGCGCCGCUCUGGGCCGUAACUGACGCUGAGGAGCGAAAGCGUGGGGAGCAAACAGG
rnacentral:rRNA from 1 species